AAAUACUGUCCCGCGAUGUCAGACAGCCGGCUAAGCGAUAAUUUGAAAACAACACUUGUGAACAAGCUGUUAUCCCGCUAAAAUAACCGCUGGAAACCCCAAAUUUGUUAUUCACCUACAGAGUCUUUUCCUAUACCUAUACAGCUUAAAAAGGUGGAAUAUUCCCGCUCAGCAACCGCCAUGCCCACUGUCUCGAGCUCUCUGUUGCUCUUUACCUACUCUUCCCGUCCGUGCUCCCCACGUGAUGUUUUGUGCAGUUUUAUGACGUCAAUCAGGAGGUCGUGCACAAGUCAUCAUGAGACCUUGUUUUCAACAUUCUUCAGAGCUCUAAUUCUGUCGUGACGAGUGACUGAGGAGGUCGGUGUUUAUUGUAUUGAAGUGGGAUUAUUGUAUUAAUAAAUUAAAUUAUGACUCAA
rnacentral:lncRNA from 1 species